GUGAGUCAACUUUCUUCCUGUUGCCUUGGAGUCAAGGUGUAGGACUCUCAGCUACUUCUCCAGCAUCAUGUCUGCCUGCACACUGCCGUGCUCCCCAUCAUGACGAUAAGGGACUGAAUCUAUAAAAUUCCUCAUCUAAAGUUCCCAUCACCUUCUACCAGCUGGGGACUAGGCCUUCAACACAUGAGCCUCAGAGAGCUCUCAAGACAUAUGGAGGUACCACCUGACAUUUCGGAUAACUAGGAAGAGGAGAAGGGAUAAAGACUAUAAAUGGAUGAUGCUGUUGACGAGAAGCCCUUUGGAUGUUACCUCCCAACACUGGGACAUUGCCACAGCAGAGAUACGGCUUCAAGUUUUGGUAAUGAGAAAAAAAGAGAGAGGAAACCACAGCUGGGUUCCCUAAGUCAGAAUAAGGAGGAAGAGUACUUGGGAAAAUUUUGUACAUGAAAACGGCAAGAUUUGCAUUGAGAGGAGAAAUGCCAGUGUCCUCCAGUGUGUCCGGCUCAGGUCAAAAAGACCCCAGGAAUGGGCCAAGCAAUUUGUCUGGCUAGGCAUGGACUUCCCUGCCACACUUAUUCUUUGGGCACAUACAGUUUCUUUUUCUGAGUUGCAUGUCCUUGAGACUCUUGCCGUCUUAUUAUAGCUUUAAAAAGCUGACACACACAGCACUCAUCCACGCUGGACAUGAGUGACGCUCUGGCAUCUGUAGGAACACUCAGCGCCAAAGACGGUGUGUGGAGAAGGACUCGUGUGUUUGAACACUCGGUCAUGGGACUUUUAGAAAGUCGACCCUUCCUGGAUGAAGUAUGUCAUAGGUGUCCUAGUUAGGGUUUCUAUUGCCGUGAAGAGACACCGUGACCAUGGCAACUCUUAUAAAGGAAAACAUUUAAUUGAGGUGGCUCACAUUUUCAGAGGUUUAGUCCAUUACCAUCAUGGUGCAACAUGAUAAUGUGCAGGAAGACGUGGUGCUGAAGAAGUAGCUGAGAGUCCUUCAUCUUGACUUGAAGGAAACAUAAAGUAGUCUGAGACACUGGGUGUGGCUUAAGCAUAUAUGAGACCUCAAAGCCCACCUCCAUGGUGACACACUUCCUCCAACAAGGCCACACCCACUUCAACAAAGCUAUACCUCCUAACCAUGCCACUCCCUUUGGAGGCCAUUUUCUUUCAAACUACCACAAUAGGCUUUGAGGUUUUACAACCUGGCUCUACUUUCUGUUGUCUCUCUGCUUCCUGCCUGGCAGGCUGCCCUGUUCUCUGUCUGCCAUUCCUUCUCCUCCAUGAUGAGCUGUAGACCCUCUGGUAGGCCAAAGUAAAAUCCAAGCUGUUUUCAUCAGGAUAUUUAUCAUAGCAACAGAAAAGAAACUGAUAUCCUGGGGGAUCUGUGAUGAUCAUACCCAGUCCCUAGUCCCUUCCUCCUGUUGUACUUCUUGUCUACCAUGAGAUCAAGAAGGUCCUCUGUUACAUUUCUCUGCCACCAUGAUGUUUUACCCAAGGGCAUGGGAGAAGCAACCAUGGACUGAAUCCCCUGAAACUGUGAGUGAGACUAUGGUGAUAUUUUAUUUGUGAUGAAAUGUGAUUUUAUUUGUAUGUUAAUAAAUAAAAUUGCCUGGAGAUCAGAGGUCAA